rnacentral:rRNA from 1 species
GCGGGGGGGCGUGCCUAUACAUGCAAGUCGAACGAACUCUGGUAUUGAUUGGUGCUUGCAUCAUGAUUUACAUUUGAGUGAGUGGCGAACUGGUGAGUAACACGUGGGAAACCUGCCCAGAAGCGGGGGAUAACACCUGGAAACAGAUGCUAAUACCGCAUAACAACUUGGACCGCAUGGUCCGAGCUUGAAAGAUGGCUUCGGCUAUCACUUUUGGAUGGUCCCGCGGCGUAUUAGCUAGAUGGUGGGGUAACGGCUCACCAUGGCAAUGAUACGUAGCCGACCUGAGAGGGUAAUCGGCCACAUUGGGACUGAGACACGGCCCAAACUCCUACGGGAGGCAGCAGUAGGGAAUCUUCCACAAUGGACGAAAGUCUGAUGGAGCAACGCCGCGUGAGUGAAGAAGGGUUUCGGCUCGUAAAACUCUGUUGUUAAAGAAGAACAUAUCUGAGAGUAACUGUUCAGGUAUUGACGGUAUUUAACCAGAAAGCCACGGCUAACUACGUGCCAGCAGCCGCGGUAAUACGUAGGUGGCAAGCGUUGUCCGGAUUUAUUGGGCGUAAAGCGAGCGCAGGCGGUUUUUUAAGUCUGAUGUGAAAGCCUUCGGCUCAACCGAAGAAGUGCAUCGGAAACUGGGAAACUUGAGUGCAGAAGAGGACAGUGGAACUCCAUGUGUAGCGGUGAAAUGCGUAGAUAUAUGGAAGAACACCAGUGGCGAAGGCGGCUGUCUGGUCUGUAACUGACGCUGAGGCUCGAAAGUAUGGGUAGCAAACAGGAUUAGAUACCCUGGUAGUCCAUACCGUAAACGAUGAAUGCUAAGUGUUGGAGGGUUUCCGCCCUUCAGUGCUGCAGCUAACGCAUUAAGCAUUCCGCCUGGGGAGUACGGCCGCAAGGCUGAAACUCAAAGGAAUUGACGGGGGCCCGCACAAGCGGUGGAGCAUGUGGUUUAAUUCGAAGCUACGCGAAGAACCCUUACCAGGUCUUGACAUACUAUGCAAAU